CAGGUUGACAUUCAGUUAGACCAGCACCAUUUGUUGAAGGAAAGGACAACUUCAGUUUCGGGACUUCAGAAGUUGAGUCUCCUAUGAGUUGGCAUCUGAGGCUGGGUCCUGAGCACGGAACCACACUCCUGCCUCUCAGGCUCUGCGGCUUCCGGUACCACCUCCGUUGCUGUUGCUUGCUGUUUGUCGCUGCCUCUGUGACUGCCAUACUCUGCCCCUCUCUGAGCUUCUCCGGCCCGGAGGCUAGGCUGCCCUUCCCCUUGCUGCCCUUCUCUUUAUAACCUAGCUAUUCGGUCACCCAGUCUCUUUUGUCUGCCCUUUUCCCUCCUGGCUUCUCAGCCAGUGUCUUAGCCCAGGUCGCCCCUCUUGGUCGGCAGCUCCUCUCUGGCUCCUCUCUCCUCUUCCCUCUGCUGACACGGCCUGGCUCCGUCUGGUUAUAUUCACCCUGGACUCUCCCAGAUGCCCCUGUCCCUGCCUCUGACUAUGCUACCCCCUUUAAUCUACAAUAAACCUUUUUCUCAGUCA